UCGAAUCGACCUGUGGACAGGGUGAAUGGAGAACGCAGGUAUAGAUUCAAGGCCGAGGAACCAUGACAGCGAAUUACGAGCAUACUGAACACGCGCUCGUUGGAUCAGUGCCGGUGAAAAGCAAACCGUCAAAUAUGACGUACGAUGUGGUGGUGUACCACAGCAAAAACGAGAAAACGCAAGCAGCAGUCUAUCACGUAAGCUAUGCGUAUACACACAGCGCAUACAAUCAUUAGCAUAUGCAUAUGCGCACUAUGCGACAGCAGUACAGCGUAUGACAACAACGGUAAACGUCUUGGCAACAACACUUCUGUUGGUACCACUGGAGCGAGACGCAGCAUACUAGGAAUUUCGGUAUCCAAUAAUUAUAGGAGAAAUAUCACACAGUAAUAUACACUACCUACGAAUGAACAUAUAGAGUUCAUAUGUCAACAUGUGUCUAUAUGAUACAGCUGUAGCAUCAAUGGUUAGAUAUGGAGCCACUACUGCUAUAAGAAAUUGAUAAGUGGUCUUCAGGACAUUUUUAUAAUGAAUGUCUGUUAUGAUCAGAACAAUUUAUAUUCGUUUAACAGAUCUGCAAACAGAUGGAGCACUGACACUUAUUAUGAAACAUUCUACGACAGAUUUUAUAAUAACUCUGCUUACAUAUAAUAUAUAUGAUAACUAUGUAUGAACCUAUCAUACAGGACAAAUGUAGAUUGUUGUGUCAUAUUAGCUUUAUGUAGAGACGUAAAAACAGGUAAUAAAUGUGACCAGCAUAAACUAUAUAUUCAUUCAUCGAUAUUUAAAGAUACGUAGAUAAAGCGCGUGACAACAUAAUUAGCCAUUUCAAUAUAAAAUUCAUAUGGUAUGAACAUAAUGAUACUGUCACAUGAUUUUUAUACCGAAUGUAAGUAUUGCAGCAACGAGCGCGGUGAGACGGACUGUACAAUACACAAAACGGUGGCAAAUAUAGUGUAAAUAUUGACGCUAGAUAUACACUACCAAGAUAAGGUACAAGAGAAUACACAGAUAUCGAUAGGUGAAUUGACUACAACACAGGCGGAAAUAUAUUUAUGUGAUAUUUGGAUAAAACACCAGACGAGACAAUUGUAAUAAUCUGGAAGUCGUGUAUGCAGAUAAAAUAAUACAUACGUAUACAGUGUAUAUGCUUAUAGAAAUAGUAAUAACAUAGUCAAUAAACUACAUAAGCUACAUUAAUAUCAAAACUAUACCAGGUCAUAUUAGCAGAUUAGAUCUAAAAAUAUAAAAAAUGAUACAUACAGAAUAAUAAAACGGUUAGUAUAUCACCUAAUAGAGUAACAUAGAUCUAAAUCUAUACACGAAAAUUUACUAUAACUUCUAUAUUUAUCAUUAACUGAUCUAAGCAAUGCAUCAUAUAGUAGUUAACAUAUAUUAGAAGUACAGCGAACAGCUAUAAUACUAAUCGUAUAACGGGGUAAUCUGAAACUAUUGUGUGUUACAUAUAACACGGUUUAUAUAUGAUAUUCGAACAUCCAAUACAAUUAAAUAAU